rnacentral:rRNA from 1 species
GUCUACAGCCAUGCCACCUCGAACAAGCCUGAUCUUGGAAGGUAAGCGGAGUCGGGCCUGGUUAGUACUUGGAUGGGAGACCACCUAGGAAGACCAGGUGUUGUAGGAG